rnacentral:misc_RNA from 1 species
GCUGCCACGUAGAUAAACAGCGUAGUACAAGAUAAAGGCACGACUUGGCGCUACCGACGAAGAGAAUUCAUUACCAAGGUCGACCGCAAGAUAGAUAACCGUGAAGGUAGCUUGCGAGUGUCAGCCUGGAAGAAAUCGGCGGAUUAAUCGAUUACGGACUCUGCGGAUAUGCGAUAAUCGAGGUUGGAUCAGCGAGCUCGCUGACAAAGUCAGAGGCAGCAGUCGACCUUGAAGAGGUGCGACUAACCUGGUCAUCUCCGGCCGUAGCAACGUUGCUCGAAGAAGCGUCGUCGAUCGACCUUCCGCGACCGAGAGAGAGCUAAGUCCAAGAGGGACCGGCCUCCAUGAGCGCGGCUUGAACUGCUGCGGACAAUCUUGAAGAGCUACGUGAUUGACCCGAUUACUCCUGCCUCGCAGCGGCAGCGCUCGAAAGCGGAGCGCGAGCGCGACUUCCGCGGGUCGGUGAUCCGGAAGAGGACGCUCGCUGGGUGACACGUGAGCGGCCGACGACGACGGCGACGACGACGUCGGGGACGACCAGUGGCGUGUAGUCCGGGGGAACCAGGGUAUAUGCGCGGCGUAUUAAUAGCCAAGUAUAGAGCGGUGGUGGGGCGCCUGCCGCUCGCGGGUGAAAAUAGAAAAGAAUGUUUUUGGAAUCCAAUUGGACUUGGUUGGCAGAACGAUGGGGCAAUAUGGCCGACUUGGCCGAGCGGGUGGACGAUCUGAUAUGCAGUUUCGAUUCGACUGGUGAGACGACCAUGGAUACGCUGUCGAUGCUGAUAUUCGGCUGGAUGCUGUUCGGUCUGGUGGUGCUGUGCGUCGGCAAGUACGUGUACAAUCGCUUCGUGCUAAACGAGCUCGCUGGCACCUCGACGUCGUCGUCGUCGGCGGCGGCGGCGCAGCAUGGCAAAGACGGCCAUGCCUACCACGGCGAGAGUGUUGUGACCGCGAGUGCCGUCGGGGCCGCUGGAAGACUCUUCGACAAGUCCAGGUCGCUGUCACCAUCGUCGACGUCCUUGUCCCUCACGAGACCAGGUACCGGCGGUGCAGGUGGUGGCGGCGGCGGCGGCGCCGUCGCCGCCACCGCGGCCGCCGCCGGUGGUGCUGGUGCUGGUGCUGCUGCUGCUGGUAGCAGCGGCAGUGGCGGUGGUGUAGGUGGUGCUGGUGGAGGUGGUGGUGGUGGUGGUGUUAUCGGUGCGAUGACGAGAUCACCGUCGCCUUCGACGGCCGGCUACGUGCCGCCGACACCGCCGGUGAGGAAACGCCUGACCAGAAAGACCUCUGGUGCCCUCAUCAGCCCGUCCAGAAGCUCCAGGGCGCUGCACCUGCCGACCGCCACCGGAGCCGACGCUGAGGCUGUGCGCUGGGUCAACGAACUGAUCGUGUGGCUGCACUACGACCUCGUGAUCCUCAACGAACUCUUGGCCACCUGGAUGACCUCCCUCAACGACUUCACAGCUAGCUCCAACGAUCAGCAUGGCGUCGGCGUCGAGUUUGUCCGUGUCUUGCCGGAGACGCACCCGCCUACCCUGUCGAACAUUUUCUGCGAGUGCGAUUCGAAGGACGACGUGACUAUCACGUGCGACUGCGAGGCCACCCCGGCUCUGCAGCUGAAGGCGUUUCGACAGCGGGGCGAUAAGCUGGAGGUCAAUCAUUAUCGGGUCAACGUCAACCGCUUCCGCGCCCGGCUGAACAUCGUCUGCAUCACUGAGAAACUGCUGGUCGACCUGAAGUGCGACGGUUGGCCGGAGGUGAAGAUCUCCUUGGCGGCGGUGGGCACAAUAAAGAAAGACCUGGACGAGAGCCAGUUGCAAGAAGUGGUCACGGAAAUUGUGGUGGGUGCUCUGCGAGGCAUCAACGUUCACUUCAAUCUCUCUCAAUACCCCACCUGUCCUCGACUAUGGCGAGAGCCGCCUCCUCAGCCGGGCUUCUCGUCGCCCAUACACUACGACAGCAUGAACGUCUCGAACUCGAUGCUGCAGUCCCCGCAGCAGCGUCUUCAGGCGCAUCCUGCGUCCUCACCAGGACCGAUACAAUACAUGCCCGGCGAGAGGCGGCUGCUCGUGAAGGUCGUGAAGGCUGCCGACCUCGGCGGUCAGCGAGGUGCCAUGGAACCCUACUGCGUGGUGGAGUUGGAUGAACCACCGCAGAAGAACCAGACCGCCAUCAAGAAGGAUACGAAGAACCCGCUCUGGGACGAGGCGUUUCUAUUCGACGUUAGUCACAACACGACCGAGGUGUUGUUGGAGGUGUUCGAUCACGUGAACAAAAGCCAGAAAUUCUUGGGACUGGGAAUCGUGGGCGUUGAGGAGCUCCUCGCGAAUCCGAGCCAACGGCAAAUCAUACCUCUUCAGGCGCGACCAUACGAAGAGGAUGACAUUACCGGCACUCUCACGGUGGAGUUCCUAUUCAUCGAGGGUGCAGAGGUACCACAAAUCGGGACCAAGCCCUACAAGGUGAAGGAGACGAUAAAGCCGGUCUCGCCGAACCGUUCCUACAGCCAAACGAACGUCAUCACCACCAAUAGUCUGAACUACAACAAUGGUAACAGUACAUUUAUCUUGUACGACUCUGCCGCACAGUCGGAAGGGGACUAUCUGACGAACGGCAACGUUGACUCACCGUACAAAACCGGCCAGACGAACGGUAAUAAGGGGACUUUGAUAGUGCACAGCCAGCAGAGGCAGCCGGAGCGGCAGGUCGUGAAGGUCGCUCUGACGGAGAACGGCAAUUGGCAGGAGAUAUCGCCGGAGCACGGGACGAAGGAUGUCAGCGCUACCUCGGGACCAGAGAGUACACCCAAUUCCUCGAAUUCGGAAGAGAGAGGAAGGACACGACGAAAACGACGCGAUUUCUUCGGCACGAUCAAGAAGCGAUUAAGCAGGUCUAAGACGAGAAGUAGAUCGGUGGGUCCCGAAGAUGACAUUAACCACGAGGACGCUCAUUCGAGAUCCAUAUCCGCCGACAGAGCUCGCGAUCCUGGAUCCGUGCAUCUGUCGGUGCCAGAGCAAUCAAGACGUUCGAGUCUGAGCGAAGCCUCGGGUAUCAGCGGUACCUCCACGAGGACGUACGUCAACGAAGCUUCUACACUCGUCCUUGAGACUCUGGAAAACGGCAUAAAGAAGCACUACCUCGUACCACUUUCUCUCGCGCAGAAGAGCAAGUGGAGGAAAAAGGGCACAAAGCUGCACAUAUUCAACGACCACACGUUCAUCGCCAAACACAUGUCUGGAGGAACGGUUUGCGAGGUCUGCAAGAGAACCCUCGCGCGAAGACUCGGCAAGCAGGGCUACGAGUGCAGAGACUGUCAGAUGAAGUGCCACAAGCACUGUCACGUGAAAGUCGACACGACGUGUCCCACGUCCACCAUUCAGAGCAUCGAGCUGACGUACGUGAAGGCUCCCCAGUUCGAACGAAAGCCCUCGACGCGUCGCCUCUGUUGACGAUAACGUCCUCGCGUCGUUCGACGCGAUCUACCGUUUAUUUGCGACAUAGGACGCCGCGUAAAAGUGGCAACUGCUUGGAGAACGACCGCAACGAACCGAUCUUCAGCCGUGGCAGGCAUGUCUUGGCACGCUGGAGCUCCCUCUAGGCUUAUCACGCUCCCUCAUCACUCCGUCGAGUCCCCGCAAAUUUCUUCCAUUCACGAAAACGAAGGGACAGAGUAUUUUGUUCCCGCACGAGAGGGCUUUGCGCGGACACGCAAGCACGUAACUUCGACGUCCUAACGAGAAGCCACGCGAGCGUCGUGGAAACUUUCGACACGUGACCUUGGACACACGCAGUGUGUCGCACACGAGUCACUCCCUGGCGACGAGACUGGGUCGAUUGAGGGCGGAGAAAGGAAAGUGAAGAAAAUUCAACGAAGAAGCAACUUCCGCUCGCGGCUCUCACCCUGCCGAUCUCUCGCCGAGGGUCAUCGCGCCUUCUAAUGAUAGUAAACAAACUCCGAAGUGUUGGACGUGCGUUGUCCCACGAAAUGGGAAGCUCGGAGUUCGACCCCUCUCCCUCCUCGAGAGAUAUUUCGGAAAUAUUCGAUAUCGGUUUCAAAGUUCGGUCGAAAUUUCCAAGUCGUUCGUAUUUCACCGGAAAACCGCUUCAUUCGAUCCCAUACAGUACAUAAAGUUGAAAAAAAACGUUGCAGCAAUGUUGCAACAAUAUUGCUGUAACUUCUGUGCUAUAUAGGACUGACCAUUUUUCUCUUCGUGCUUGGCUUUGCGGGAGUCGCGUCGCUUCUCGAACUUCCCUACGUUCUUCUCCUUCGGCAUAACGCACGUCCGCCGUCGAUUUUCGCGAAAUGCACCGUAACGUAUCCGCGGAGAGUUGAAGAAAGAUAUUCACGUAAUUUUUACCGUCACCUAGAGUGUCCUGUCGUAGUAAUCGUGACGUAGCUCGCGCUACGCCGUCGUCACCGGUUGCUUGCGUACCGAGAAAGCAGCUCCGUACGGGGAAAAAUGUCUGGUCAUAUAGAAAAGGAUGCAUUGUUUUGUCUGUGCGUUCUCUCUCACACACUCUCGAUGGAAGUGGAAUAGAGGAGACAGUUGCUAACCUGUACGACAGUACAGCCACUGUUUUUUUUUUUCGAUAUAGUGAUCAACCUAGAUCACCGUGCCUUCAGCUCACCCUGAGGUAUAUACAGGUACAGCCGCUAUACUGUCGUACAGGUUAGCAACUGCCUUCCCUACCCAGUUAGAACUAUACUGUUGAUUCGACGUUGAUUUGAUGUUAAAAUGGUCGAUGAAACAUUGAAUCAACGUUAAUUCAACCCUCAUUGACAUCGAAUCAACGUUGUGCCUCUGACUGAGUAUUCCCCUUCCCUCGAGAGUGUGUGAGAGAGAACGCACAGACAAAACAGAGUGCAUCCUUUUCUACAUGAGGUCUACCCCACCCUUGAAAUCUGAGAAAACAUGCUAGAACAGUCUAGGUAUACCAUGUCUAUGGGUUAAAUGAAGCAAUCUGCUGGGGUGAGAUAUGAGAACUGAGUAGUUCCGCUUGAAGUCGUCAGAAUCCAGCCUGAACGAUCGGGAUUUCUCGAACAAACUGCUGGUCCUUUCACUUGGAAUGUCUGAGUCGUAUUUCGCCGGAAGACGUUUUUCUCCGUGCGUCCUUGUUGGUCCCGGGGAGGAUCGACGAGUUGAAAUGAUUCGUUCGAUGGCCGAGGGAGCCAAAGACGCGAUAGCACAGUCAGACAUCGCCGGGAUGGCCGCGCAAAGUAACGUGAUUGAUGACGAUAACGAUGUACGUGUAUUAAUAACGAUAAGUAGCACGACAACAAUCGUCACGAUAGAUUAUAAAUAACCACGAGAUAAUAUUAGGUACAUAUAUGAUAGCGAGAACGGCGAGAGGAAAGCAGAACGCACCGAAACAAUUGUCGCAGCCGAAUUGCCGUAGUCGCUCGUUUAAAUUUUGCGUUUGGAAAAAGGAAAAAAAACACACACAAACACAAACGCGCGCGUACGCGAAUGGAAAUACUUAACACGGCGCCGUGAUCGAUUCGGCAGGAAUAUUGCCGAAACCGAUAUCCGUUAAUUAUUAGAAAACUCGCUGAUUAAGUAUUAAAUAUUAAUUUAAUAUGAAAACAACGCAUGUAUUGGCUUCCGCAGCAAGUAAUCUCAAGGGUUUCUGCGGUUUUAUGAUUUCAUGGAACGCACACAUCGUAUCGUAAAAUUGUGACGACAUAAAACUUCAAAAUUAUUUCGUUUUACCCGAGAAUUUUCUGAUCGCACAGAAUGUGUUAAUUUUGUUAGCGACGCUCUCGAAUCAAGAGGAUUCGUUUCGAUAUUGCGCGCUGUUGAUCAAUUCUUCACACACUUGGCGGCACUUUUUCUCGUCCAGACAGACACACACAGACAUACAAACACGUGCGCACGCACCUUACAUAACUGUGUACCUGUAUAGUUUUGCCUUAAAUGCAAACGCGUCUAGUCACACGUUAUCGAAGAACGACGAUGGGGCUGCCUCACUUCCGUUAUCGCGUCCACGGCGACGAGGCGUUCAAGAGCGCGAGAGAUCUUGCGGGAAUUGCAUACGCACACAGGAGCACACAGUACAGGGUGUAAUAUCAACAUAUAAGUUAGACGGGUUGCCUGUCCCUAUUCGGACGAUAAUGCAGGAGUUGCCGAAAAAGUUACUCGUUAACCUCUGCGUUAUCGCCUGAAUAGGGGCAGGCAACCCGUCAUACUGAUUAUAUGUUGAUGUCUCAUCUUGUAUGUCCAUGACGCAACUUGAUCGAUGACGCGAUUCGUCUUUGCGUAUACACACAAGCGGUCGACGAAAUCGUUUCUCUAACGUAGUGUGAUAAUAAUAAUAUAUUUCCUUACAAGCAAUCACGCGUUGGAAAGUAAUUCGUACCCAGUGUGCUUCUGAGAUUAUCGACGCGAUCGCGAAAUGCGCCAUCGAACGGGAGAGGUCUUUCCUGGGUACCGAGCAACGUAUAUAGCAACGCAUCGCGCAGGACCCGUCGAGAUCCUGCGACAAACUGCGCGCAGUCGGUAAACUAAAUAUACACAUACUUAGACUUUUUUUUACGUCUCGCUAUAACGAACAUUGUCGGAGUACAAAAUGCAAUCAAAAGCGCAAGUGGAGAAUCAACGACGGAGCCUAGGCGCGUAAGCGGUCUAUAGGGUGUCAAAUUUCAAAUGCAUCAGAUCGAAUAUCUCGGGAACUGAGCGCGGCAGGCAAAAAUGUCCCAGACAAAAGUCGUUCAAAUUAAUUGGUAGAGGAGAAUGAUGCAAUAAAAAAUGAGGAUUUCUAUUCAAGAUUUUAAGAUUGACCUCGAGAUCUCCUCUGCUCUCAGGGUUAAAUAAGUGCCGCCAUUUGAUGCGUUUGAUAAAACCUACAAGUUUUGUCCGAAACAUUUUUAUCUGCCGCGCUCGGUUUCCGAGGUACUCGACCUGUUGAAGUUUAACACUCUGUAUAUCAGCAUGUAGCGAUAUAUUUACACAUAUAUAUAGACAUAUAUAGAAACAUAUAUAUAGAAACGACUAUAUAGAAAGCGACAGCGAUUUCUCCCGAACAAGUCUGACGAGAGAUAGAAAUAACGACGGGAGACCACUUUUCCCCCUUUCUUCCUCGUUUCGCAUUUUCACAUUCUGGAGAACGCAGCUCCGCGAUAACAACUCGCUCCGAUCACAUCACGUGAUUAACUGCGUCAGUGGGAAGAAGAUCGUAACACAUGACAUUAGAGUAGCCGCAGAGAAGGCGAAUAACGUUUCUGUUUCGUUAGAACCCCUACAGCACAAAAGUUGCAGCAACAUUGCUGCAACGUCGCUGCAAUAUUGCAACAUUGUUGGCAACGUUGCAGCAAUGUUGCUGCAACUUUCUGUGUUGUAUGGGAGUUUUCGAGAAAAUUGGGAAUUUACCUUCAAGCGAUCUGCCGAGUCAUCACGCGUUGUCAAGUUCAUCAAGGCAAAGUGUUGCGUCCCUUCUUCCUCUGACUGUCCAAGCAACCGAGUCCCUAAAGCUCGUAUCAGGUUAGAGAUCGAGAACUGCAAGUAUCAGAGGAGCUUGAAGGUUACAGAUUGAACAUUGAAGCAACCGGAGCCCGAGAACCCCGACCCUUAAUUCGCAGUCCUCAAUCUGCAGUAUCCAGUCUGAUGCGAGCUUGACGAGUCUCAUCAGCCACGUAGUCAUUGAACGCAGCUGGGCUUGAGCAAGCUAAUAGUGCGAAAGCGCCGUUGCGCGACGCGACAUCGCAGGAGACGCGGUGGAGAUCGAGCAACGUUAGUCGAUCUUUCCCUGCAAACUUACACGUACUGGCUGUGAAACACACCGUUAGAGACGGAUCGAAGGCCACGAAGCGCGGAACACGCGUGGGCUGCAUUCACGGCUCAGAGGAGGCGGCUUUGAAGCGAAGGCUGGUCGAUUAAACUCGUACAAACUGGAUCGGCGCAAAUUUCCCGCACGGUGGGUCUCAUGUGGUAUUACGGCAUACGCAGAGGACAUGAUCGAUACAGUGUAUGCGCGACCAUCAUCUCUCCGUUGGGUUAAAGUAAACCAGCCGGCGGAGGAUAGCCUUAGUCAUGGUAAGCUCGUGAGGAGCGAAGAAUUGGAGGUACAUGGAGGUACCUCGGAAGUAAUCACUUUCCAUCGACUCGCGAUUAAUCCGUUGGACAGUCGACGGGAGGAAGGUCGCGAGACCUUUGCCUCAUUUUUGUGCCAUUUGCUGAGAAUAAAAGAUCUAGUUUUCCUAUUCGACACGGCUUGCGAGGAAAACUUGUCGAGAAGAGGUACCGUCAUUUGUAAUUUUUUCUUCCAUCAACUGGUGAAUUCGAAGCUAUCGGAUUAUCGAUAAACCGCAAUCGUUGACCGCCGUGCGGGUAAUUUCAACGAUUCCGCUUCGCCCUUCAAGAGCGGCGUUCCUUUCCCGGCUCUCCAAGAGCCAUCCUCCUCCCUCUGUGAGUCCGCCCGACCUCAGCAACGACGUAGAUCGAAAAAGAGAUCCAGCGACUGAAGAUCCACAACCGCCGGCCCGGUUGGCGAUCUCUUCAGCGCUUCUUCGGCUCAUCGCGACUCGACGCCGCGGUGAGUUCUGCACGAGCGAACACGAGCGACGCCGCGUAUUCCUGGGAAUAGCGCGCACGCAUCUUUACGCAAUCGAAAGUACAACGACACGAUACCUCGCGGAGCGACUUACCUCUAAGGUUAUUAACUCACACGUGGCGCAUUGCUUCUUUUCUUCUUCUUCUCUUCUUCUUCUUCUUCUUUUCUUCUUCUUCUUCUUCUUCUUCUUCUUCUUCUUCUUCUCUUUCUUCCUUUUCCUCCUGGCUCGCUCUGCGAUUACGCGCACGCACACAUACACACCGUUGUUCCCCGCCCUGCUCUCCCUCCUUCCCCUUCGGCCCGUGGAACAACCCUCUGUUCGUACGUUGGAGAAAAGAUCGCGAGUCACAUUCAUCGUAAUUCGUCGAGAUAUUGAAGCAAUUUACGAGGCGCCAGCGCCGGAAAGCGCGCCGGCGACGACGAUUGUGCCUAUAAUAAAAUGUUGUUACACAAUAAUGUUAUACAUUUGUCAUAUAGAAAGUCUAUUUAUGAACGGUAUUUCCAAUUGUUCUGCAGAUAAAGAAGAAGCUUCUUAUUCUCGAUCCCACGUCGAUCGCGCAUCUCUCUCUCUCUCUCUCUCUCUCUCUCUCUCUCUCUCUCUCUCUCUCUCUCUCUCUCUCUCUCUCUCUCUCUUUUUCUCUGUACGUACGUAUAACAUAUGAAGAGACCAUGACGAUGUCGAUUAUUAUGCAUUGCCGAUUUAUAAUACAAUACGAUAUGUAAUGUAAUAAUGAUGAUAUGUAAUAAUACGAUUAUAUAUGCAUAGCUAUAAUACGUAUAUCUAUAUAUAUAUAUAACGUUAUCAUUAAUAUAAUAUUAAUUAAUUCUCGCUACAACGCGGACGACGGUAGCAACGAUAACGGUAUAUAUAAUGUAACGUUACAGAAAGUAAUAUAUUAUGAUCCUACAACGUUA